rnacentral:rRNA from 1 species
UACAGAGGGGGCAAGCGUUAUUCGGAAUUAUUGGGCGUAAAGAGCUCGUAGGCGGUGUGUCACGUCGGCCGUGAAAACCUGCAGCUUAACUGUGGGCGUGCGGUCGAUACGGGCAUCACUGGAGUUCGGCAGGGGAGACUGGAAUUCCUGGUGUAGCGGUGAAAUGCGCAGAUAUCAGGAGGAACACCGGUGGCGAAGGCGGCAUCCUGGACCGAGAUUGACGCUGAGGCGCGAAAGCUAGGGUAGCAAACGGG